CCCACCAGGAUACCUUUGCCUUACGUUCUCCACUCUGCUCAGGGCAUCGAAGGACUUUUACUAUGUUGUUUGUCUAUUGUUCUUUCCUGCAAUGUUAUUGAAGACACGCGUGUAAAAAAAUAAAAUAAUAAUAAUUAAAAGGGGAAGAGAAAAUAAUUUCCCAGCAGGCGUUUGACAAAUGACCCUCGUCCAAACAGAGGGCCUUUGUGCGUGUCAUGUUUUUCACCAUAAGAGAUUAAGACUGUGUUAUACACCAUCACGCAUGUUUUUCAAAGUUGUAAUCAUCCCUAUGCACUGGAAAACGUUGUUUAUUGCAUGGGUGAUCUUGCUAGAUGCUGAAGUGUUGCAAAAUUGCUGUGCAGCAGCAUCAACAAUUGGUCUGUGUGUUUGAAUGACAUAUCCCAAAUAGCUUUAUUCAUACUAGAAAAUAAACAUUUCUCUGCGGCCUGUUCAGGAGGGUGCAAUGUUACAGAAUGUUCAGAUAGAAAUGGAUCGUGUGGAAACGAUACAAUGGUAUUUUAGGUAGAGGAUUUUAGGUAGAGGAUUGGAAUUGUAUGCUCUGUUUUACAUGUCUAUCUGCAACAUUUGUCUCACCUCAUUGAAUACACCCUUUGUAUCUGUUGUCAUCCCACAAAGUGGGACAUUUUCAAAGGGCUUCCAAUAGAGGAGCACAACCAGAACCCCGUGAUGGUGCUAAACUCACUACGUCAAUCUGAUGGUGAAUGUUAGGGAAUUAUUUAAUUUUUAGAUUGUCUUCUCACGAAGUGAGACAUUUAACAGAAUUAAUCCAUCAAUAGCAAUCAAGCUAAACUGCUAAAUUGUGCUCUGUUGGAGAACAGAAAAAUUUUAACAAAUCUAGAUAUUUCAGGAGAAACUUAACCUAACCCAUGAAACUUGGUACUAAUAAAUGUACACUAAACAAAACAAUGGACCUUCUCAAAAUGUUUGCAAUAACAGGCUUUUUUACUGCGGGAGUCUGUACUGAACUUAGUCUUUUUCGAGACUAUAUUGAACUGAUCUGUGUAAAUCUGCACCUCCAUGUUUCAAAGACCAUGUGCAAUGGCUCUGUAGUACUCCUCUGUAUUCCAGUUGGUUGAUUGUAUAUGUUACGUGACCAUUGCCUGUAUUACUUUCUAGGUGAAAUCAAGUUCUUUUUUUAAAACUUUUUUUUUCUCACCAUUCUUGUAAACAUCUUUCUGUCAAUAAUUAUUUAUCUCACGUUAUCCUCAUGAUUAUAACACAGAAUUAAAGUACUUUUUUAUUUUCAGAUUUUCAGAUUUAUAUUCAGUAAAGAGUAUGUAAGAUGUUGACUGUAAUGUAAGCGAAGUACGAAGCAAAUUAAAUUUAUACAUUUAAGUAUGAAUUUCUUUCUCAAUUGGUAAACUAAAUUGCAUUAAUAUUUUACAAAUGCAUAAGCCUGUUGGAUAUUAUGUCAGAUCUCUGAUAUAUGCCUAUUUCUGAUUUCAGAUCAGUUUUUUUUUUUUUUUUUUACAGUGAAAUUAUGUUGAUUUAAACCUCCUAUACAUUAACACGUUUGUAAUUGUAACGCUAUUACAGAUGUCCAUAUUUGAUAUGUGUAUUUAUUUUAGAAGUUGCCAGCAGACAUCUUACUGAAGUCCUGCCUUUCUCUGGUUUUUCCCACAUUGCUUUGCGGUGUACAUAAAAGGCGUGCGCAAAUUACCACCACGAGGUCUGUUCAUUUCAUUUGAUUAAUAGUACAGCGAAAAUCUAGCAAAUCGUGUGACAUCGAUGCAAAAAAUAAUAAUCUUGAAGAAUGUUUUGAUAAAGAAAUGACUUCGUCAUUUGUUGGCGAGAUGAUGACUGGGUAUUUGAUGCGGAUCUGGCAGUGACUGGGUAUUUGAUGCAGAUCUGGCAUGUCUUCCGAUGCAAUGUUGCAGGAUGGAUGACAAAUUGAUACAGGACACAUGAAUACUGUGGGUGGUGGAAAGGAUGUGACUUGGACCAGGAGGUCAGUUCAGUACUGAACAUCCUGAUGCAACAUGGAGGCCUGCAUAAGUCAUAGCAACCAUGGAGAGGCUCUUGAUUUCUUCAGUGCUGUGCAACAACUCACUCUGUGGGUAUUGGCUGACAGCCGUGGUAUAUCAGAAGGCUUCAGCAAGAAGAGUGCCCUGGAAGGUCUUGUUUUUCAUGGUGAAAUUGACUACAAAAAUGGCACCUUGUGAAAUUGCAGCACAAAUUGAUAUAAGCGUUUACUAUCCCUUGUCCAAUUCCAAUAAAUGUUUUGGGGAAAACCCGACAAAGUA